rnacentral:rRNA from 1 species
UACAGAGGGUGCGAGCGUUGUCCGGAAUCACUGGGCGUAAAGGGCGCGUAGGUGGCGACCCAAGUCCGUGGUGAAAGCUCGUCGCUUAACGACGAGUCGGCCACGGAGACUGGGGUGGCUCGAGCACUGUAGGGGCAGAUGGAAUUCCGGGUGCAGCGGUGGAAUGCGUAGAGAUCCGGAAGAACACCAGUGGCGAAGGCGGUCUGCUGGGCAGUUGCUGACACUGAGGCGCGACAGCGUGGGGAGCAAACAGG